AUACGGAGGAUGCGAGCGUUAUCCGGAUUUAUUGGGUUUAAAGGGAGCGUAGGCGGGAGCUUAAGUCAGCGGUUAAAUGGUGCGGCUCAACCGUGCCCUGCCGUUGAAACUGGGUUUCUUGAGAGUGCAAGAGGCGGAUGGAAUUCAUGGUGUAGCGGGGAAAUGCUUAGAUAUCAUGAAGAACUCCGAUUGCGAAGGCAGUCCGCUGGGGCACGUCUGACGCUGAUGCUCGAAGGUGCGGGAAUCAAACAGGAUUAGAUACCCUGGUAGUCCGCACGGUAAACGAUGAUUACCCGCUGUCGGCGGUAGACAGUCGGCGGCCAAGCGAAAGCGAUAAGUAAUCCACCUGGGGAGUACGCCGGCAACGGUGAAACUCAAAUGAAUUGACGGGG
rnacentral:rRNA from 1 species